rnacentral:rRNA from 1 species
GACGAACGCUGGCGGCGUGCUUAACACAUGCAAGUCGAACGGAAAGGCCCUGCUUUUGUGGGGUGCCCGAGUGGCGAACGGGUGAGUAACACGUGAGUAACCUGCCCUUGACUUUGGGAUAACUUCAGGAAACUGGGGCUAAUACCGGAUAGGAGCUCCUGCUGCAUGGUGGGGGUUGGAAAGUUUCGGCGGUUGGGGAUGGACUCGCGGCUUAUCAGCUUGUUGGUGGGGUAGUGGCUUACCAAGGCUUUGACGGGUAGCCGGCCUGAGAGGGUGACCGGCCACAUUGGGACUGAGAUACGGCCCAGACUCCUACGGGAGGCAGCAGUGGGGAAUAUUGCACAAUGGGCGGAAGCCUGAUGCAGCAACGCCGCGUGCGGGAUGACGGCCUUCGGGUUGUAAACCGCUUUCGCCUGUGACGAAGCGUGAGUGACGGUAAUGGGUAAAGAAGCACCGGCUAACCACGUG